ACGAAACAUUUCAAAUCCCGUGUCAUGAGUAAUGUUGAACUGUUUUACUAAACCCGUUGUAGCACAAGUCAGUCGUUCCUGCUGGAACUUUUACGUUCAACUCAGGGUUGGCGGCCAUGCUGUUCGUGUCACAAAUCUCCUGUUAGUUUAUGUGUAUGCAGUUUUUAACCGAACAACUGGAUCUUUGUUAUUGGUGAUUUUUUUUUAAUACAACCAUGGUAGAGUUUGUGAGACUAGAUUACUGAGUUAUUUCGAGAAUACAGCGUGAUACCAUGUACUGGAAUAUGCGCUAUUAUAUGAGCCAAAGAUGAAGCAAUUUUCGUGGAAGUCCUGCAUUAUUACAAGCUUGGCAUAAGCAAGAAACGAUAGAGCAGCUGAAACUAUGCUUGGUUUGGAAUGCCAUUAAAAAUGUGCCGCCAUCUGUCGCCAAACAUAAGAUACUGUGAAUUUCUAAAUGUUUGGCCCCCUAUCCGAAGAAUCAGCGGUAAGACUGAGAGCUUAUGACGCUAGAAUUGGCGACUCGAUCCCAGCGGUGGACACAGCGCAGUCUUUCCACCGUGCAGCUUUGCAAAAAAAAUUAA